rnacentral:tRNA from 1 species
UCCCUGGUGGUCCAGAGGUUAAGACUCUGUGCUCUCACUGCAGGGGACCAGGGUUCGAUCCCUGAUUGGGGAA